CAGCAGGUUCAGUGGUGCAGAGGGCGUGUAGACUCACUUUUUCUUCCUAACGUCCUUAAUGUACCUGAGAGUGGAGUGGAGGAGAAUGGUGGAAAAGCAGCGACCCAGUGUUUUGUGGCCAGUGUGUGACGCAGACAGGUGUUUUUUUGAGGAGAGGUGAAGAUGUUAAAUGAGAAGAAAUGGAGAGAAAAGCAGAGGACAGACAGAGGGCCUGGGCUCCUUCAUCCAGUUCAACGAACAUUUACUGAAGCCAAUAAAGAGCUCACAUUUUGCAGGCCAGGAGGAAGAGAAGAUUUUAUUUUCCUUUCAACCGGAGUGAAACUGCUUCACAGGCAGGGCUGGUGGGCUUUAUCUUUGUGUUCUCGGGAACUGUCACAGUGCCUGGAGCUUAGAAGGAACUCCAAAAAUAUUUAUGAAGCUGAAAAUAUCACCAGGUUGUUAAUAAAACUUCAAAUUGCCCCCCUACCUCCCCAUCCCAUUUUCACAUCAAACCAACACCAUGUGAGAGACUUCUGCUUCUGGUUUGGUCAAGUAGCCCCUCUGGGGCCAACCCUCAUAAAGAUAAAAACUACGAACUCUGGACAAUACAUAUUGAAAAAACCCAAUUACUUGAAGGCACUAGACAGUGAAUACAAGCACACAGAUACCGGAAGAGAGCCAAUUCAUGGACAACGUGGGAAAAAUCAGAGAUGGAGAGCCUCAAAUUCUGUUUCUAAACUCUGCCUAAAUCUCUGGCUAAUCUCUGAAUCACGUACGUGCAAGAAAUUGACUUAAAAAAAAUCAAUAGUCUUCCAAAGAACAUAACAGAAUUCAGAGUUUCUAUAACAUAUUUCCCAUAAUGUCUGGGAUAUAACCCAAAAUUAAUUGAUGUAUGAAGAAACAGAAACACAUGAUCUAUACGUAAGGAAACACAAAAUUUAUAAC
rnacentral:lncRNA from 1 species